rnacentral:rRNA from 1 species
CCGUGAGGGAAAGAUGAAAAGUUCUUUGGAAAGAGAGUUAAAAGUGCCUGAAAUUGCUGAAAAGGAAGCGAUUGGGACCUUUUUGAUUCCAAGAAGUGCCGCCGGUUUGCCAUCUAUCCCUUUGCCUUCUCUCUCUCACCAGGUUUAGGCUUUGGUUUCUUGAUGUAUUUCCGGUUCAUCUUUUUGGAGAGGUCAGCAUCAGCUACUCGGAAUUGAUUUCGUUCAAAGAAGGUAGGUUCCUUGUGGACCGUUAUAUCUUUGUUCUUUCCUUUUCCUUGUGGCUGAGGAGUGUUCCUGUUUCCGAGCUCCACUUUCGAGUACUCGGUUUCUGUGAUGCUGGCUUAAUCGGUUCCAACCGACCCGUCUUGAAACACGGACCAAGAUCUUCCGGGUCGGUUGGAACCGAUUAAGCC